rnacentral:rRNA from 1 species
ACGCUUGAAGUCAGUCGUGCCCUUUGGGAUUCAGCCUUGCUUCUGCUUGGUUUACUUCCCUUUGGGUGGGUCAACAUCAGUUUUGGUCGGAGGAGAAAGGCUUGGGGAAGGUAGCAACACUUGUGUUGUGUUAUAGCCCCUUGUUGUAUACUUCGACUGGGAUUGAGGACUGCAGCACGCCUCUGGCCGGGGUUCGCCCACGUACGUGCUUAGGAUGUUGGCAUAAUGGCUUUAAGCGACCCGUCUUGAAACACGGACCAAGGAGUC